GUGGCCCCCGGGGCUGCGGCUGCUCUGUCGUCAAGGGCACACGAGGGGGUCCUGCACCCUUUUAAUCAGCCAGCGUCAGCCACGUGACUCACAUUUCCCUCCGGGCUGGAAGGUUCUGUUCUGGCAGCAGGUCUGGCUCGGGCACGUGGUUAGGUGAUAGCUAACCCAGCCCAACGAACAGUGACUCCCUAGUGGAAUCUGACACUAGUUCAAGUUCAGUGUCCUCCACGUGCUGCGGCCCCGCCUUCCUUCUCGGGACUUCUUUCCCUUCCUUCGUGGCCACUUCCCUGCUCUCUCGCCUUCGCGUGUCUCCUCCGCCGAGCGCCACGUGCCUGCAGACGCCUUCCCUAUGGCAGAUGAGAAGUUCUCAACUGGAAGCCAGUGCGUGCCUGGAGCCCCCCCGGGGGCUGGGCACCCUCGCCCUCUCCCCACGCCGGGACCCGCCGGACGCCUCUCACGGUCAGGAAAGAAUUAAAGACAACAUCCAGGACGGUCUCUGUACGUGGAAGAAUGAGAAUGUAUUCGCAGACAAAGCGUGACCUGAGGGAGAAGCCCGCCGGAAGCUGGAUUUUCAAUAACAUAAGACAAUAAAGCUCAGACGCCUAA